GGUCUACCAUGGUGGCAACGGGUAACGGGGAAUUAGGGUUNGAUUNCGGAGAGGGAGCCUGAGAAACGGCUACCACAUCCAAGGAAGGCAGCAGGCGCGCAAAUUACCCAAUCCCGAUACGGGGAGGUAGUGACAAUAAAUACUGAUACGGGGCUCUUUUGGGUCUCGUAAUUGGAAUGAGAACAAUUUAAAUCCCUUAACGAGGAACAAUUGGAGGGCAAGUCUGGUGCCAGCAGCCGCGGUAAUUCCAGCUCCAAUAGCGUAUAUUAAAGUUGUUGCAGUUAAAAAGCUNGUAGUUGAACC
rnacentral:rRNA from 1 species